AGAGUUUGAUCCUGGCUCAGAAUGAACGCUGGCGGCGUGCUUAACACAUGCAAGUCGAACGAGGCGGAGGGGGGCAACUCCCUCCAGUCGAGUGGCGGACGGGUGAGUAACACGUGGGUAACCUGCCCGGAAGUGGGGAAUACCUCGGGGAAACUCGAGCUAAUACCGCAUGACAUCUUCGGGACGAAAGUCCUGACGAUCAAAGCGGGGCCGCAAGGUCUCGCGCUACCGGAUGGGCCCGCGCUCGAUUAGCUAGUUGGUGAGGUAACGGCUCACCAAGGCGACGAUCGGUAACCGGCCUGAGAGGGCGAUCGGUCACACCGGAACUGAGACACGGUCCGGACUCCUACGGGAGGCAGCAGUGGGGAAUCUUGCGCAAUGGGCGAAAGCCUGACGCAGCAACGCCGCGUGGAGGAUGAAGGCCCUUGGGUUGUAAACUCCUGUCGGUUGGGAAGAAAUCGCGCGGUGCUCAUACCACCGUGCGUUGACUGUACCAGCAAAGGAAGCCCCGGCUAACUCUGUGCCAGCAGCCGCGGUAAUACAGAGGGGGCCAGCGUUAUUCGGAAUUAUUGGGCGUAAAGGGCGCGUAGGCGGCCCCGCGUGUCUUCCGUGAAAUCCCUCGGCUCAACUGAGGACGUGCGGGAGAAACUGCGGCCUCUCGAGUCCGGGAGAGGGGGGUGGAAUUCCCAGUGUAGCGGUGAAAUGCGUAGAUAUUGGGAGGAACACCGGUGGCGAAGGCGGCCCCCUGGACCGGUACUGACGCUGAGGCGCGAAAGCGUGGGGAGCAAACGGGAUUAGAU
rnacentral:rRNA from 1 species